UUACGGCCAUACUACGUUGAAACAUUGGUUCCCGUACGAUCAACGAAGUUAAGCAACGUUGAGCCGGCUCGGUACCUAAAUGGGUGACCGCUUACGAAUGCCGGGUGCUGUAA